UACGUAGGUGGCAAGCGUUAUCCGGAAUUAUUGGGCGUAAAGCGCGCGCAGGCGGUUUCUUAAGUCUGAUGUGAAAGCCCACGGCUCAACCGUGGAGGGUCAUUGGAAACUGGGAAACUUGAGCGCAGAAGAGAAGAGUGGAAUUCCACGUGUAGCGGUGAAAUGCGUAGAGAUGUGGAGGAACACCAGUGGCGAAGGCGACUCUUUGGUCUGUAACUGACGCUGAGGCGCGAAAGCGUGGGGAGCAAACAGG
rnacentral:rRNA from 1 species